rnacentral:rRNA from 1 species
AUGGGAACGCGAAGAACCUUACCUACUCUUGACAUCCAGAGAACUUAGCAGAGAUGCUUUGGUGCCUUCGGGAACUCUGAGACAGGUGCUGCAUGGCUGUCGUCAGCUCGUGUUGUGAAAUGUUGGGUUAAGUCCCGCAACGAGCGCAACCCUUAUCCUUUGUUGCCAGCGGUCCGGCCGGGAACUCAAAGGAGACUGCCAGUGAUAAACUGGAGGAAGGUGGGGAUGACGUCAAGUCAUCAUGGCCCUUACGAGUAGGGCUACACACGUGCUACAAUGGCGCAUACAAAGAGAAGCGACCUCGCGAGAGCAAGCGGACCUCAUAAAGUGCGUCGUAGUCCGGAUUGGAGUCUGCAACUCGACUCCAUGAAGUCGGAAUCGCUAGUAAUCGUAGAUCAGAAUGCUACGGUGAAUACGUU